ensembl:snRNA U6 U6 spliceosomal RNA
GUGCUCGCUUCGGCAGCACCUACACUAAAAUUGGGACGAUACGCAGAAGGGGGGCAUGGCCGCCAUGCAGGGAUGACACGCCAAGGUGUAAAGCAUUCCAUAUUUUU